rnacentral:rRNA from 1 species
GUUAAACAUAAAGAGCGUAGGGUGGAUGCCUAGGCACUGACAGCCGAAGAAAGACGUGACAAGCUGCGAAAAGCUGCGGGGAGAAGCACAUAUUCAGUGAUCCGCAGAUGUCUGAAUGGGGAAACCCACUUGGAAGAACUCCAAGUAUCUGUACGCCAAUACAUAACGUACAGAGGGGAACCCGGUGAACUGAAACAUCUAAGUAGCCGGAGGAAAAGAAAACAACAGUGAUUGCGGGAGUAGUGGCGAGCGAAACCGUAAGAGCCCAAACCGUGGUGCGUGCACUGCGGGGUAGAGGACUGCAAAAGGAGAAAGAUAUAUUACCUGAACCGUUUUGGAAAAGCGGGCCAAAGAGCGUGAGAGCCGUGUAAGGGAAAAUAUAUUGAAUCCAGCAGUAUCCGGAGUACCACGAGACACGAGAAACCUUGUGGGAAGCAGGGGGGACCACCCCCCAAGGCUAAAUACUAGUCAGUGACCGAUAGCGUAUAGUACUGUGAAGGAAAGGUGAAAAGAACCCCGGGAGGGGAGUGAAAAAGAACCUGAAACCCUAUGUUUACAAACUGUGGAACACCGAAAGGUGAACCGCGUACUUUUUGUAGAACGGUCCGGCGAGUUACAUGUACAGGCGAGGUUAAGUAUUAAAGAUACGGAGCCGAAGGGAAACCAAGUCUUAAUAGGGCGAGUUAAGUCAGUAUGUGUAGACCCGAAACCGGGUGAUCUAUCCAUGUCCAGGUUGAAGUUCGCGUAAAAGUGAAUGGAGGACCGAACGCACAUCCGUUGAAAAGGGUGGCGAUGAGGUGUGGAUAGGGGAGAAAUUCCAAUCGAACCCGGAGAUAGCUGGUUCUCCUCGAAAUAGUUUUAGGACUAGCCUCGUUAUUAGUCUACCGGAGGUAGAGCACUGAAUUUUUGCGGGGGCGUCAAAGCCUACCAAGAGAUAUCAAACUCCGAAUGCCGGCUAGAUGAUAAACGGGAGUCAGACUACACGAGAUAAGUUGGGUAGUCAAAAGGGAAAGAGCCCAGACCUACGGCUAAGGUCCCAAAGUGUGUGUUAAGUGGAAAAGGAUGUGGGAUUUCGAAGACAGCUAGGAUGUUGGCUUAGAAGCAGCCAUACAUUAAAAGAGUGCGUAACAGCUCACUAGUCGAGAGGUCCUGCGCCGAAAAUGUCCGGGGCUAAACACAACACCGAAGCCUGGGAAUGUAUUUUAUACAUUGGUAGAGGAGCAUUCUUAUAAGCGUAGAAGCCAUACCGGAAGGAGUGGUGGAGUAAUAAGAAGAGAGAAUGCCGGAAUGAGUAGCGAGAAAGAGGUGAGAAUCCUCUUGGCCGAAUAUCUAAGGUUUCCUGAGUAAAGCUGAUCUACUCAGGGUAAGUCGGGGCCUAAGGCAAGGUCGAAAGACGUAGUCGAUGGAUAACAGGUACAGAUUCCUGUACUACAUAUAAUCAGAACUGUGGGGACACGGAGACUGAAACCGAACCCGGGAGGACAAAAACCGGGGCAAGCGAAGUACCUGUAUGGGAGGAAAAACCACCAUACAAGGGGAAAACGUGAUGCGUACCGAAAAUUAGUAGGGAAGUCGGUUAGGGAGCCGUCAAGAAAAGCCGCUAUUGCAUUAUAUGUACCCGUACCGCAAACCGACACAGGUAGAUGAGGAGAGAAUCCUAAGGCCGGCGGGAGAAGCAUUGUUAAGGAACUCGGCAAAAUGACCCCGUAACUUCGGGAGAAGGGGUGCCACUUUAAAAGAGUGGUCGCAGAAAAAAGGCUCAAGCAACUGUUUAGCAAAAACACAGGUCUAUGCGAAACCGUAAGGUGAAGUAUAUGGGCUGACGCCUGCCCGGUGCCGGAAGGUUAAGAGGAGAAGUCAGGAAACGAAGCUUUGAAUUGAAGCCCCGGUAAACGGCGGCCGUAACUAUAACGGUCCUAAGGUAGCGAAAUUCCUUGUCGGGU